GACGAACGCUGGCGGCGUGCUUAACACAUGCAAGUCGAAUGGAAAGGCCCUGCUUGCAGGGUACUCGAGUGGCGAACGGGUGAGUAACACGUGGGUGAUCUGCCCUGCACUUCGGGAUAAGCCUGGGAAACUGGGUCUAAUACCGGAUAGGAGCCAUUUUUAGUGUGAUGGUUGGAAAGUUUUUUCGGUGUAGGAUGAGCUCGCGGCCUAUCAGCUUGUUGGUGGGGUAAUGGCCUACCAAGGCGGCGACGGGUAGCCGGCCUGAGAGGGUGGACGGCCACAUUGGGACUGAGAUACGGCCCAGACUCCUACGGGAGGCAGCAGUGGGGAAUAUUGCACAAUGGGCGCAAGCCUGAUGCAGCGACGCCGCGUGGGGGAUGACGGCCUUCGGGUUGUAAACUCCUUUCGCUAGGGACGAAGCUUUUGUGACGGUACCUAGAUAAGAAGCACCGGCUAACUACGUG
rnacentral:rRNA from 1 species